AGAGGAAACUGGGUUUUAAACAGGAGCAAGUGAACGAAAACACUGAUCUGUUCUUUGCGUCAAGACUGGAGGUUUCCACAUAAUCGGCUCCAAACACAAAUACACAUAUGUCUUUGACGAAGACCGGGUUCGACGGGAGAACUCGAGGAGAAAACAACCUUUGGUUUGACGUUGUUAGAUGUACAGCAAUCGUGCCGUGGCUUACUGUAUGGCGGGACUUUGAAAGAAAACUCUAAGGAUAAGGUGAAGCAGAUGAGUCAGAACCUCGCUGGAAAAACACCCGACACCUGUAUCCUUUCCUGUGGAUAAACUGCCCUCUGCAUGACUGGAACUGGACCCAACCACAACCUAGCGUUCAUGUGUUGGAACCCGGACUCUGAUGUGAGGUUGUUAACGAUGCGUGUUCUCUCAGAUGGAUUCACCGAGGCCAGAGCAGAACUGGGUCAGUAACAAGGCCUAAAUCAUUUCAUGAACCCAGGCCCGGCCAUCACGACGAGAAUGAUGUUAAGAUGAACUUAACGUUCUGCCGGGCUCCACCUUCAGAGAACCAUACAUCUGUUCUAGAAGGAUCCCUCAGGAUGCCAGAACCCUCUCUGAUUUAUCCGCUGUAAAUGGACCGUGGAGACUAAAUGUCUGUUGGAUUACUAUAUAACUGACUCCAGGACAAUGUGUGAUGUAAAAACAGCGUGAGGACAUUGCUGAUGUCAGUCCAAAAGGAAUUCCUUCAGCAUCCUAAAGGGAAUAUUGAGGGUGUUGACUAUUGCUGUCCAAUCCUGGCUGGCUCAUUUGUAUUCCACAUUCUACUACCACUGGCCAAAGCAUCAGCAAAGAGUAUCAUUCAAUAUCCCCUCACUACCUCUCGUGUAGUUUUUAGGAGUGUAAUUAUAUAUCGCAAUACAAAAUGUUCACAAUAUGUAUCGUAGUUAUGGCAGUAUUUUUUACAAUAUGACGUCCGUUUGAUCCUAUUGGUUGAGCUACCAGCAUGCGACCAACUCUGCACCUGCGUCAUGCGUGCAUUCACAGAAAUCGCUUGAACUGAGUUAACUAAAUUGAAUGUACAAAAAA